rnacentral:lncRNA from 1 species
UUAGUAGUUGGUUUACUGACCACCAGUAUAUGAGGUAACUUGACUCCAAAGAGCAUUGUAUUGUCCCUUCUGAAUAUAAGCCAAGCAAAAUAACAUGGGCUCUUUAACCUGCCCCACAAAAAAUGCACUAUAAUUUUAACAGAUUGGUUGAAAGAAGAAGCCAAGUAACCUGAAACACAAAUAUGAGGUCACCCACCAAUUUUCUACAAAAGAGAGACGAACAUUCACACGAGAGAGAGUUGGUCACCUUGUUCUUCACCAAAUCUUCUAUUGGAUUCUUCUGUUCAUCUUCUUUCUC